GUUGCUUAUCUUUCCAGGAGGAACCCAGUCUGCAGCUUCCUUGCGGGAUCUGCUUCUUGACUCCCCAGGCAUGGCCCUGAGCCACAUGGAGUUUAUUUCUAGGGUGACAGUGAAUGCCUCAACCUUGCUUCUCCCCCUCCAUAUCCUAACACUCCUCAGAAUCCCAAAUCAACUUCGGCUUACAUGUGAAAUGAAGAGUAGAAGGAGUGAAUCCAACUGGAGCUUAAGUUAUUUUGGGGUAGAAGCAGUAUUUUAUUUCUAUUCCACAUAGGCCCAGGAUACAGAGCACACGUCUUGUAAAUUACUAUGA